GUUCUCUUCCUUCCCUCUAAACUCCUAGUUUCUAUUUCAACUCCAAGUGGGAGAUUUGACCUCUUGGCCAUUAAUUUCUCCCCAAAUAUCUUUGAUUAUGUGUUUAGUAGAGUGAGAGCUUGUCUCUCUGAUGAGUGAGAGUGUCCUUCUCUCUUGGUCGUUCGUCUAUCAGUCUCCCCCAACCGAUGGUGGUCCUUCCUCUCCCUUGUUGGUUGGGUUGUUCAUAGGUAAGAGUGAUUUUUGUUAUGUUUAGCAGAUACAUGCUUUAUGGUGAGGGAUUAGAUGUAGAUAUGCAUCUCCAUGUCCACCUGAAGUUGUUUGUAGGGGAUCUCACUGCUGGUUGGCAAAUCUAAGGUUACGUCGUCAUUACUUCCAUUAUAAGUUACAUGAGACUGAAAAGCUCGAGCUUGCUAUGCCUCUUUCUGGUUUUUUCGGCUAAAGUUCCCAUUCCAAGAUUGUCUGAGUUUUGCUGCAUCACUUCUCAUCCAUAUGGGUUACAAGCUUUUUCUAGGAAGCUUUAUAUAUGCUUCUGUUGAGUUUCCUAGACGAUGUGCUUUUCAUAUCUUCUUGCAAUUUCCUAUCUAAUAGAUGUUCUCCUUGCUAGCUAUGGCGGUGGCAACUAGUAACCUAAUUGCUAGAGAUGAUUCAACCCGUGUAGUCCCAGGGUCUUCGAGCCUCAGCCCACAAACAAUACAAAGGCCCAAAG
rnacentral:misc_RNA from 1 species